rnacentral:lncRNA from 1 species
CUACUCACAGUGCUACAACAGUGCCAGUGUGAUGCAAACAGAAAUGGAACAAGGAACCAUCUCCGUACCAUGGACGUCAGAAACCUAGAAGAGAUGAAUGGUGUUUCCUUUGGGAACGUGAACCUUCCAUUACUACUAAAGAGAAAAUGUAAAUAUGAAGAGAAGUCCUCAUUGCUGCAGUCAUCUAGAUUACACGGGGGUUGAGAGGAAGGGUGGCCCUGAAAUGGUACUGAAGCACAAGUAAUGGUGAAAAAGAGAUAAAACCAUCCCAGCUAAGCUACUCACCUGGCAAGUACUGUGUUCCCAAGAAAGCCACAGAAAUGUCUUGAAGAAAGCAACGUAACCACUUUAGUGCUGGUGGUUUGGUGAACCUCACAGGGCGGCCUGCAGUCGGAUGUCAGCCAUACUUUCCAAACAACACGAGGACUGGUCAGUGGUUUGAGAUGAAAUGCAGCCAGGCUUGCUCUUUGGCUCCAGGUAACGCCACCACAACCUGUUUAUAACAUUUGCUCUGUUUUUAUGGUUAGCGAUGGAUGCGUUGGCUUAGCUGGACCAUCAUAAGCACCUUUGCAAUUAAGCACUUUGCUCAAAUUGCCCAGAGCCAUCUUGGUCUUCUGGCUGAAUCUCAUGCAAAUGCUAUACACUAGCAAUUUUUACCCUCAUUGAAAUAUGCA